UUCAAAAAUCAACGUUCGUUUUCGAUGUCAUGGUCAUGGUGAAGCAGAGGAGAUUCCGAGUGUGAAAAACAGGAAACACGACCAGUCUCCUGUCUGACUUGAUGGAUAGUUAAAUAAACUUCGGUUAGCAUUCGCCAACCUUGUUAUCCGGAGGUAACAGAAAUGUUUCCAGAACGAGGUUCGAACGUAUGCCAACCAUAAACACUACCAAAGAAUACCUUUAGCCGUCGCUAAUUCGUCAUGCAGAACUAUAUACACCGUUUCCACGAUUCACGAGUUGGAAAUUGAAACGCCAUCUAAUUGUUUCGGUAAACAAAAUAAGGAGUCCAGUAUUGUAUGCCUCAGUACAGCAUCAAAUUGCUCCAUCCAAUUAUCCACAGCAUUAUGGUGGUGAUGGGUAAUGGGUAGCAUCAGCUCGAUCAACGUUUCUUGUACUGUAGAUGCAUGCCAUCCCACAAGCUGUUGCACGGAAUCUAAUAUUUGGCACACUCACCACUUCGACUGUGAUCAUAUUAUGACAAUACUGCUGAUUGUUGGUUGGCUGAUUAUAAUGCUACUGUUCCUGUUCAGCUUUUGCUAAUUGGAAUAAGGAAGGUACUUCGAGCGUAUAAAACUCCGUUCGAUUACCCGACGACGCUUCUACCCGGUUUUUCAUAGUUACUGGAACGGACCACUUCAUGGGCCCUAUUCUCACAGUCACGUCACCUAGUGACUAGAAGGAAAUUUUGUUCUAGUCACUAGGCGACGUGACUGUGAGAAUGGGGCCCCAUAUCUAUCCCAACGAGUAUCGCACUGUAACAAAUGCUGCAAAUUUGCAGCAGGAUCGAGUGUACAGAAGACGGGAGGCCACAAGCGUAAUUUUUGCUGUGGGUGCACGAAAUUACAGGAGGCACAAAUCUCAGGAGAUUGUUGGGAAUGUACCGUUUGCACAAUACCCUGAUUUGUGCUGAUACUUUCUGACGUUAAUUCUGCUGGUUAUCUGGUGUGAAGCCAUUACACUGAAGGGAUUGUAUCGGAACAAGCAUUUCUCCAGUGGAUGUACAUUGUGAUAUUUCUCACCAAUCAGAAUUUUUUUAUACUCGUCAGCUUGGAAAAGUGUGCUUACAUAUUGUGACGCUCCAGAUUGUCCAAGCGAAAAUGUAAAAUGAUAGCACAGAAUUGAAAUUACUACAUCUUUACAUUGUAUAAACUUUAACCCUCCGGCACUCGCGCCAUUGUAUUUUGUGCAACACCUUCAGAAAAUCUAGCGAAAUCUUUCAGCACCAGUGGCUGCUCAUUCAGGGAGCCAUUCGCGCGAGUGCCGGAGUGUUAAGAAAUAACUACUGUAAUAUAUU